UACGGAGGGUGCAAGCGUUGCUCGGAAUUAUUGGGCGUAAAGCGCACGCAGGCGGUAAGGUAAGUCAGUUGUGAAACUCCUGGGCUCAACCUGGGAACUGCAGUUGAUACUGCCUUGCUAGAGUACGGAAGAGGGAAGUGGAAUUCCCAGUGUAGAGGUGAAAUUCGUAGAUAUUGGGAGGAACACCGGUGGCGAAGGCGGCUUCCUGGUCCGAUACUGACGCUCAUGUGCGAAAGCGUGGGGAGCAAACAGGAUUAGAAACCC
rnacentral:rRNA from 1 species